rnacentral:rRNA from 2 species
AUGGACGCAAGUCUGAUGGAGCAACGCCGCGUGAGUGAAGAAGGCUUUCGGGUCGUAAAACUCUGUUGUUGGAGAAGAAUGGUCGGCAGAGUAACUGUUGUCGGCGUGACGGUAUCCAACCAGAAAGCCACGGCUAACUACGUGCCAGCAGCCGCGGUAAUACGUAGGUGGCAAGCGUUAUCCGGAUUUAUUGGGCGUAAAGCGAGCGCAGGCGGUUUUUUAAGUCUGAUGUGAAAGCCCUCGGCUUAACCGAGAAAGUGCAUCGGAAACUGGGAAACUUGAGUGCAGAAGAGGACAGUGGAACUCCAUGUGUAGCGGUGAAAUGCGUAGAUAUAUGGAAGAACACCAGUGGCGAAGGCGGCUGUCUGGUCUGUAACUGACGCUGAGGCUCGAAAGCAUGGGUAGCGAACAGGAUUAGAUACCCUGGUAGUCCAUGCCGUAAACGAUGAAUGCUAGGUGUUGGAGGGUUUCCGCCCUUCAGUGCUGCAGCUAACGCAUUAAGCAUUCCGCCUGGGGAGUACGACCGCAAGGUUGAAACUCAAAGGAAUUGACGGGGGCCCGCACAAGCGGUGGAGCAUGUGGUUUAAUUCGAAGCAACGCGAAGAACCUUACCGGUCUUGACAUCUUUUGAUCACCUGAG